rnacentral:siRNA from 1 species
CCACAUAUGUCCGACUGUUGGU